CACGGGGGGAGCAAGCGUUGUUCGGAAUCACUGGGCGUAAAGGGCGUGUAGGCGGUCAAGUAAGUGGAAUGUGAAAUCCCCCGGCUUACCCGGGGACCGGCAUCCCAUACUGCUUGGCUUGAGUACGGGAGAGGAUGUGGGAAUUCCUGGUGUAGCGGUGAAAUGCGUAGAUAUCAGGAGGAACACCGGUGGCGAAGGCGGCUCUCUGGGGACCACCUGACGCUGAGGCGCGAAAGCGUGGGGAGCGAACCGG
rnacentral:rRNA from 1 species